UUUAAAUUGAGAGUUUGAUCCUGGCUCAGGACGAACGCUGGCGGCGUGCCUAACACAUGCAAGUCGAGCGAUGAAACUUCCUUCGGGAAGUGGAUUAGCGGCGGACGGGUGAGUAACACGUGGGUAACCUGCCUCAAAGAGGGGGAUAGCCUCCCGAAAGGGAGAUUAAUACCGCAUAACAUUAUUUUAUGGCAUCAUAGAAUAAUCAAAGGAGCAAUCCGCUUUGAGAUGGACCCGCGGCGCAUUAGCUAGUUGGUGAGGUAAGGGC
rnacentral:rRNA from 1 species